rnacentral:lncRNA from 1 species
UGGCAGUGUCAUGCAAUGAUUUAUCAGAGGUUGUCGAACUCGGGUUAUGGUCAAUAUUAUCCAUGGCUGCAGUUGUAAACACAUCACUCCGAAGUGUUGGGGUAACCACCACAUUUUCAUUAUCGAAUGCCUCACAGAUGGAGUUGCCAAGUGCUGUAGAUAAAGCCUAAUUCUGUCAUAGGAUAAUGAUAAACUUAAACAGUACAUUUUAUCAAUAAAACCAUGUUUCCUAGUUUCAGUAUGCAGCAGAAGGCGUAAAUAUAUUGAUAUAGGUGGUUCUCGUUCGGUUGAAUGGAAUACUUUGGAUUAAUCUUUCCGUCUGCGAAUAGAGGAAUUAAACUGGAGAAGCUGUGACAUAGUCAGUGUCGUUUGUGCUUCACACUAUCUGUGCAGCUUUAGACUACUAAUAUUAAAAGAAUAUUAUUGCCUCAUCAUCGUAGUUUCUUUUAGAUGCCUGUUUAAUUGCAGCACCAACAUCAUAGCAGAAUAUGGGAAGCACGUCUCUUCCUUGUUUAGGGCCUGCAAGUCUGGGAUAGCUGCAAGAACUCGUUUUGUUUAGAUCUGUCAAAUGCACUCUUCUAGAUAGGAAUACUUCCUUUGUUAAGUCUGCUUAUUUGAAAACAGAAAUGACAUCAGAGUGUAUGCAUGAUUCUUCUAUAUUCACAACCAGCUCCGCAAGUACAUUACCGUGGAUACGGUUGUCUGAACUGUUAUCACUAAUUACCUUUAGUAGUCUAGCUCUAUUAUAUAAAUUGGUCAGGAACUUGACAUUAUAAAUUGCUUCUUGGGGAAAUCAUGUCUCUUGUGCUUAGUUUUGCCAACAUUACUGUAUCUUAAUUUUGCAAGUCGAGUGCAAAUUUUCGUACAUGUUUGCCUAUUUCAAAACGUAGCUGCUUUGUGUAGAUCUCAUGAUGAAUCAUUACAGAAAAAAAAACAAUCUUUAGUCAUUGUCAUUGUUGCCGUGUUGUCGUGAUGUUUAAUUAUACUUCCAACCUGGUCACCACUCUCUCCUUUUCUCUUCUGUUUUUGAUGCCUUUCAAUCUUUAAUUCUGUUUUGAAAAUUUAUUUCUACGUAUAUUGUGCCACUUUGCAUUGUGCAGCUGCAAGUUUACAGCCAAACAAUUUUAAUUUCGUCAGUUAAAUAUUCUUAUCUAAUUAAAAUCGGGAACCAUUCAAUUAGCUGACAAUGUUCUAAAAUCGUUUCGAGUGUUUUGUAUACUGUUCCUUCUUUUAUGUCAGAUUUUUUGCUAUUGGCAGUACGCUGUAAAUUUUCUUUAGUCUGUUUUAGCACAAAAUACAUUAUUUACAAUCAAAGUCAGCAGAUAAAGAAGAUGUUUAUAAUAAAUCAGGGUCUUCAAUUUUACACUGUUUUGACAUUGCUAACACUACUUAUAGAUAAUCAUUGAUAAUUACAACGAGAAUGGUUUUCUCGCUUGAGCCGGUACGGCGAAAGUGAGAAAAGCAAUCGAGUUGAGAUGACCAAUGAUAAUCUGUUUAUCGCUAUCUGACCUAUGACGACGUUGUUAAUUUCAUGACAACAGGCAUGUUAGUCCUUAGUUUCUAGUCAGCAAGAUCAAAGGAAAAUU